rnacentral:rRNA from 1 species
AACGAACGCUGGCGGCAUGCCUAACACAUGCAAGUCGAACGAGACCUUCGGGUCUAGUGGCGCACGGGUGCGUAACGCGUGGGAACCUGCCCUUAGGUUCGGAAUAACUCCCCGAAAGGGGUGCUAAUACCGGAUAAUGUCUUCGGACCAAAGAUUUAUCGCCUUUGGAUGGGCCCGCGUUGGAUUAGCUAGUUGGUAGGGUAAAAGCCUACCAAGGCGACGAUCCAUAGCUGGUCUGAGAGGAUGAUCAGCCACACUGGGACUGAGACACGGCCCAGACACCGAGGGACGGGAGAGGCGGGGAAGAUUGGAGAAGGCGCGAGUGCAUAACCCUAGAAUGCCGGGUGAGAGAAUGACGCGAUAGGGGUGUAAAGCUCUUUUACCCCGGAUGACAAUGACAGUACCGAGAGAAUAAGCUCCGGCUAACUCCG